AUCGGGCCGUUGAGGCAACCGAUGUAAAAUGUUGCAUAUAUAUUUUGUUUUUAAAAAAAGUGGAUUUUUUUCAUAUCAGACAUACAAUUAAACCGAUGUGGUAUGUGUAUUUUUCACAUCGGGUUGUGGCCCGAAGGAUGAUGGCGUUCAUCCAGAUUCGCUUGAUGAGAACCUUAAGGAACUGAUGAAGUAGGUUGAUGUUAAGUGAACAAAGUAUGGGAUCGUGUUGGGUGACACACGAGAAGCACAGUCAAAGGCUUGGAACAGCAUUAAAGCAGCGUAGACAUGCUAGUCAGAGAAUGAUGUUGCGUUGUCCUAGUGAUCAAGACGGUGAAACCUUUCAUUCAACGGUGGCUGUUACUAUUUCGUUACCGUCUUUUCUUCAUCGUUCUAGUUCUUACCAUCAUCGGUCUUCUGUUGUUUCUCACUAGUUUCCGUUACCAGAAUCGCCGUUGACUCCACGACCUCAUCAUCAUGCUACGUUACCCUUUUCCAGGCAACAGCUCUAGUAAAGAUACUAGAAAACACUCAUGACAAUUUAUAUGAAGCUAUUUCCAAAUUCAAGUUUCAAUUUACUGCUACCAAUACCUCAACAAGCAUAUUCUCCAGUCUUGUUACUAGUUCUAGAAGAAUAAGCAGCGUAGAGAAGGAAAACUAAUUGGACGAGGAUCAUUUGGAAGUGUUUAUCAUGCAACAAACCUAGAUACUGGAGCCUCACGCGCUAUGAAAGUGGUAAAUCUGUUUCCUAAUGAUCCUAAAUUGACAUGGUGUCCUGUUUUAUGUGAUAAUAAUCAGAUGAGUUCAAUCAUUAAAUAGUUUAAUAGUUUAUGAAAACACUGCAUCUAUAUGAAUACAUUUCCACUCUUUUAUAAUGAUAUUUUGGUGUCGUGUUUUCCAGGCAUUUAUGUAAGAGAGGACUUAUAUAACACUCUAGUGGUUGAUUUUAUGGAGGGUGCAAGUGAAGAUAUAAGAAUGUUAAAAUACAUAUAUGUGAUUUCUUUUGUAAGAUUCUUAUAUUUGAUUUCUUUUCUGUUAGAUUCUAAGUAUAUUGAAUGAAACUUUCUAUGUUGAAAUAUUUGAAUUUAAUAUAAGAUAAUUUUUUAA